AUCCAGCUGAUGAGUUUCAAAUAGGACGAAACACACGUCAAAAUGGAU
rnacentral:hammerhead_ribozyme from 1 species